rnacentral:rRNA from 1 species
UCYGGUUGAUCCUGCCRGACCCGACUGCUAUCAGAGUGAGAUUAAGCCAUGCGAGUUAACGUAGCAAUACGUGGCGCACGGCUCAGUAACACGUAGUCAACAUGCCCAGAGGACGUGGAUAACCUCGGGAAACUGAGUCUAAACCGCGAUAAGUGAGGAUUUCUGGAAUGGUUCCUGACUAAAAUCUAUAUGGCCUCUGGAUUGGACUGCGGCCGAUCAGGCUGUUGGUGAGGUAAUGGCCCACCAAACCUGUAACCGGUACGGGCUCUGAGAGGAGGAGCCCGGAGAUGGGCACUGAGACAAGGGCCCAGGCCCUAUGGGGCGCAGCAGGCGCGAAACCUCUGCAAUAGGCGAAAGCCUGACAGGGUUACUCUGAGUGACUUUCGCUAAGAAAGUCUUUUGGCACCUCUAAAAAGGGUGCAGAAUAAGGGGUGGGCAAGUCUGGUGUCAGCCGCCGCGGUAAUACCAGCACCCCGAGUGGUCGGGACGAUUAUUGGGCCUAAAGCAUCCGUAGCCGGUUCUGCAAGUCCCCCGUUAAAUCCAGCUGCUCAACAGAUGGGCCGCGGAGGAUACUACAGAGCUAGGAGGCAGGAGAGGCAAGCGGUACUUAGUGGGUAGGGGUAAAAUCCGUUGAUCCAUUGAAGACCACCAGUGGCGAAGGCGGCUUGCCAGAACGCACUCGACGGUGAGGGAUGAAAGCUGGGGGAGCAAACCGGAUUAGAUACCCGGGUAGUCCCAGCUGUAAACGAUGCAGACUCGGUGAUGAAUAGGCUUCGUGCCUCUUCAGUGCCGCAGGGAAGCCGUUAAGUCUGCCGCCUGGGGAGUACGGUCGCAAGACUGAAACUUAAAGGAAUUGGCGGGGGAGCACCACAAGGGGUGAAGCCUGCGGUUCAAUUGGABUCAACGCCGGR